rnacentral:rRNA from 1 species
UACAGAGGGGGCAAGCGUUGUUCGGAAUUACUGGGCGUAAAGGGCGCGUAGGCGGCCUGUUAAGUCGAACGUGAAAUCCCCGGGCUCAACCCGGGAACUGCGUCCGAUACAGGCAGGCUUGAAUUCGGGAGAGGGAUGUGGAAUUCCAGGUGUAGCGGUGAAAUGCGUAGAUAUCUGGAGGAACACCGGUGGCGAAGGCGGCAUCCUGGACCGAUAUUGACGCUGAUGCGCGAAAGCCAGGGGAGCAAACGGG